AGCGUGCCUUUUUCAGAAUGAACCGGCGAGUUAUUGUAUUAUGCAAGGUUAAGUCGAACAGAUGGAGCCGAAGCGAAAGCGAGUCUGAAUAGGGCGCUUAAGUAUGAUGCAAUAGACCCGAAACCGAGUGAUCUAGCCAUGAGCAGGUUGAAGUUGGGGUAAGACCCAAUGGAGGACCGAACCGAUAUGCCCGGAAACGCGUACGGAUGACUUGUGGUUAGCGGAGAAAUUCCAAACGAACUCGGAGAUAGCUGGUUCUCCCCGAAAUAGGUUUAGGCCUAGCCUUGAUUGAAUCUGCCCGGAGGUAGAGCACUGAAUGUGCGAUGGCGUCGUCUAGAUGUACUGAGUACAAUCAAACUCCGAAUGCUGGGUAGUACUAAUCAGGAGUCACUGUAUGGGUGAUAACGUCCAUACGGGAGAGGAAAAGAAUCCGGAUCGCCAGCUAAGGUCCCAAAAUUUGUGUUAAGUGGGAAAGGAUGUAGAGUUGUCAAAACAGCUAGGAGGUUGGCUUAGAAGCAGCCACCCUUUAAAGAGUGCGUAAUAGCUCACUAGUCGAGUGACACUGCGCCGAAGAUGUACCGGGGCUAAACACAAUACCGAAGCUGCGGACUUGCAUGUAAGUGCAAGUGGUAGGGGAGCGUUCUAAGUGCAGAGAAGGUAGACCGUAAGGACUGCUGGAGCGCUUAGAAGUGAGAAUGCCGGUGUGAGUAACGAAAAUUGGGUGAGAAUCCCAUUCACCGUUUGACUAAGGGUUCCUGGGUAAAGUUCGUCUUCCCAGGGUAAGUCAGGACCUAAGAUGAGGCUGAAAAGCGUAGUCGAUGGACAACAGGUUGAUAUUCCUGUACCACCUAUAUGACUGAAGGAGUGACGGAGAAAGCUAGUGAGAGCCAGUUAAUGGAUUCUGGUCUAAGUGCGUAGGCUAGUAUGUUGGCAAAUCCGCAAUACUAUAACAGCUGAAACAUGAUGGGGAAGAGAGUCUUCGGACAAUCGAACUUUCAUGAUGCUAUGCUUCCAAGAAAAGCUUCUAGGGUUAAUCGUAUAGGUGCCUGUACCGACAACCGACACAGGUGGUCAAGGAGAGUAUCCUAAGGUGAGCGAGAGAACUAUGGUUAAGGAACUCGGCAAAAUGACCCCGUAACUUCGGGAGAAGGGGUGGUCUAGCGAUAGACCCGCAGUGAAUAGGCCCAGGCAACUGUUUACCAAAAACACAGGUCUCUGCUAACACGUAAGUGGAUGUAUAGGGGCUGACGCCUGCCCAGUGCUGGAAGGUUAAAGAGAUUAGUUAGUAUGACGUAAGUCGAUAAUACGAAGCUUUGAACUGAAGCCCCAGUGAACGGCGGCCGUAACUAUAACGGUCCUAAGGUAGCGAAAUUCCUUGUCAGGUAAG
rnacentral:rRNA from 1 species